GUCACGCCCGAAGUCGUUACUACCAGAAAUAAGGGGGUAUAGCUCAACUGAUAGAGCACUACCUUUGCAAAACAGAAGUCAGCGGUUCGAGUCCGCUUACCUCCAGAGCAGCCACCAACCUGUCAAGCAACUGCACUGGGGAAAAACCAGACAGACUGCUGGACAGUAUCAGUCCAGACGGAACCUAGAAAAUUACAUAGAAACUGAAUCAAAGGUGCAGCUAUUGUCGAGGCUGACUCGAUAAUAGCCCAGAAACCAAUGUGGUCAAGCUAUCAAGAGCUAAUGGUGGAUACCUAGGCACACAGAGG
rnacentral:tRNA from 1 species